AGUUCAGGCGGCAGCCCCCUCCUCCUCCCUGGGGAUGCCGCCACCAAUACGCCGGGCCCCUCCUCCUCCCUGGGCCUUGCGGUUCGGGCGGCACCCCCCUCCUCCUCCCUGGGGGUGCCGCCUAAA
rnacentral:sRNA from 11 species